rnacentral:rRNA from 1 species
GACGAACGCUGGCGGCGUGCCUAACACAUGCAAGUCGAACGGAAAGGCCUGCUUUCCCUUGUGGUUUGCGGGUACUCGAGUGGCGAACGGGUGAGUAACACGUGAGUGAUCUGCCCCCAACUUGGGUAUAAGCCUGGGAAACUGGGUCUAAUUCCCGAUAGGACUGCAGGGUGGUGCCUGUGGUGGAAAAUGAUUUUCUAGUGGUUGGGGAUGAGCUCGCGGCCUAUCAGCUUGUUGGUGGGGUAAUGGCCGACCAAGGCGGGGACGGGUAGCCGGCGUGUGAGGGGGGACGGCGACAUUGAGACUGGGAUCCGGCCCAGACUCCUACGGGAGGCAGCAGUUGGGAAUAUAGCACAAUGGGCGUAAGCCUGAUACAGCGACGCCGCGUGGAGGAUGACGGCCUUCGGGUUGUAAACUCCUUUCGACCGCGAGGAAGCCACCUGGUUGGAAGGGUGGUGACGGUAGUGGUAGAAGAAGCACCGGCUAACUACGUG